rnacentral:rRNA from 1 species
UACGGGGGGAGCAAGCGUUGUUCGGAUUUACUGGGCGUAAAGGGCGCGUAGGCGGUCGUGACAAGUCACUUGUGAAAUCUCCGGGCUUAACUCGGAACGGUCAAGUGAUACUGUCGGACUAGAGUACAGAAGGGGCAACUGGAAUUCUCGGUGUAGCGGUGAAAUGCGUAGAUAUCGAGAGGAACACCUGCGGCGAAGGCGGGU